rnacentral:lncRNA from 10 species
AGUGGGCGGCGACGCCGGCAGCUGGGACGAGGAGGGCCUCCUGGUCACCCUUCUGGGGGCCCGUACUGUCAUGCCUCAGAGCUGGCAAGUCGUCCCAGGGAAGACAACGGCCUUCCUGGAGGGAGGGAACCUUGUGGUUAGGCGCAUGGGGUGCGAAGCAGGGCCUCUACUUGGCCGACGCAGCUAGAAGACUAAGGUCAGGGGCAUUCUGGAUGCAGCCCACAAAGCUAGCUCUCUGUGGCACUGAGCAAGGCACUUCUUGCUGCCACCAUGUGAAGAAGGAUGUGUUUGCUUCCUCUUUUGCCACAAUUCAGAAGAGGAAGUUGGAGGCAUGUGAGGUGCAGGAAGGAUUCUAAGCAGUGGUGCUGGCUUUGAAGAUGGAAGGCAUUGUACCUCAAUGAAUGUGACUGGUUUCUAGAAGCUGAGAGUAGCCAGCCCCCAGCUGACAGCCAACAAGGAAACAGGGACCUUGGUUCUCCAACCACAGAAAAUAGAUUCUACCAACAAGAAUGAGCUUGAAAGCAGAUUCUUCCCUCGCACUUAAAGAUUCAUUCUCCAUGCCU